UGCAGUCGUACGAGAGCGGAUAUUAGCUUGCUAAUAUUGUCAGCUAAGUGGCGCACGGGUGAGUAAUAUAUAGUUAAUCUGCCCCAAAGAAGAGAAUAAUUGUUGGAAACGACUUGUAACGCUCUAUAUGCCUUUAUUACAUAAGUAAGCAAGGGAAACAUUUAUGGCUUUGGGAUGAGACUGUACGGUAUCAGCUAGUUGGUGAGGUAAUGGCUCACCAAGGCAAUGACAUCUAACUGGUUUGAGAGGAUGGUCAGUCACACUGGAACUGAGACACGGUCCAGACUCCUACGGGAGGCAGCAGUGGGGAAUAUUGCACAAUGGAGGAAACUCUGAUGCAGCAACGCCGCGUGGAGGAUGACACAUUUCGGUGCGUAAACUCCUUUUAUAUGAGAAGAUAAUGACGGUAUCAUAUGAAUAAGCACCGGCUAACUCCGUGCCAGCAGCCGCGGUGAUACGGGGGGUGCAAGCGUUACUCGGAAUCACUGGGCGUAAAGAGCAUGUACGCUGGUUUGUAAGUUGGAAGUGAAAUCCUAUGGCUUAACCAUAGAACUGCUUCCAAAACUGCAGACCUAGAAUAUGGGAGAGGUAGAUGGAAUUUCUGGUGUAGGGGUAAAAUCCGUAGAGAUCAGAAGAAUACCGAUUGCGAGGCGAUCUACUGGAACAUUAUUGACGCUGAGAUGCGAAAGCGUG
rnacentral:rRNA from 1 species